rnacentral:rRNA from 1 species
UUCGUCCAAUUGAAGUUGAGGAAAGUGGCGGACGGGUGAGUAACGCGUGAGGAACCUGCCUUGGAGUGGGGAAUAACAGCUGGAAACAGCUGCUAAUACCGCAUAAUGCAACUGGGUCGCAUGGCCCUGGUUGCCAAAGAUUUAUCGCUCUGAGAUGGCCUCGCGUCUGAUUAGCUAGUAGGCGGGGUAACGGCCCACCUAGGCGACGAUCAGUAGCCGGACUGAGAGGUUGGCCGGCCACAUUGGGACUGAGACACGGCCCAGACUCC